rnacentral:misc_RNA from 1 species
UAGGAACCAAAGAUUUGUGGACGAGCAGAAGGAUUAAUUGAGCUAGGAGUUGCAUGCAUAUGGGGUCCCAGGAUAGUGGAAGCAGAAUCGUUUGGUGGAAACAGAGCUGCCGGACUUGUGGACACAACUGGCGGCGCCGGCGUCAUUCCCGGUGGACCAGGUACCAUAGGAGUUACAGGCAGUAGUUGGUGAACGUGGAAAGACGGGGAGGGAAGAACUGGUGAAGUCGCAGGGAUCAAAUUGGGAAUUGAA